AACGAAUCAAGCACGAGAAGAAAAAGCGUAUUCGGAUGCGAGGAGUAAAUGUGAAAUGGGUAUUAGCAACGCCAUGGAUUAGCGGUUAUAAAAGCAAGGUAUUAAAAACGGGUUGAUAUAUUGACCCGCGCCAGGUACACUAUGGGAUGCCGGAAGACGAUCAAACUGAAGAACCGAACACAAUAAAGACUCAUGCUUCCGCACAUUGCCUCGUUGUAAAUUUUAAAGACGAACCCAAUCACGUUCAUAGAAUAGCUUAUGAAUUGUAAAAGUUUUAAUUUACUCGGAAUUGUCUAAGGAUACAUAACACUAAAUACAUGUCUGUUUUCGUAAUUUAUACGAAAACCUUUAAAAUAAUAA